ACUCAAAUGAAUUGACGGGGACCCGCACAAGCAGCGGAGCAUGUGGUUUAAUUCGAAGCAACGCGAAGAACCUUACCAGGACUUGACAUCCCUCUGACCGGUAUAGAGAUAUACCUUUUCUUCGGAACAGGGGAGACAGGUGGUGCAUGGUUGUCGUCAGCUCGUGUCGUGAGAUGUUGGGUUAAGUCCCGCAACGAGCGCAACCCUUAUCUUUAGUUGCCAUCACGUAAAGGUGGGCACUCUAGAGAGACUGCCGGGGAUAACUCGGAGGAAGGUGGGGACGACGUCAAAUCAUCAUGCCCCUUAUGUCCUGGGCUACACACGUGCUACAAUGGCCUGAAACAAAGGGAAGCGAAGCCGCAAGGUGAAGCCAAACCCAUAAACCAGGUCCCAGUUCGGAUUGUGGGCUGCAACCCGCCCACAUGAAGUCGGAGUUGCUAGUAAUCGCGAAUCAGCAUGUCGCGGUGAAUGCGUUCCCGGGUCUUGUACACACCGCCCGU
rnacentral:rRNA from 1 species